GACGAACGCUGGCGGCGUGCUUAACACAUGCAAGUCGAACGGAAAGGCCCUGCUUUUGUGGGGUGCUCGAGUGGCGAACGGGUGAGUAACACGUGAGUAACCUGCCCUUGACUUUGGGAUAACUUCAGGAAACUGGGGCUAAUACCGGAUAGGAGCUCCUGCUGCAUGGUGGGGGUUGGAAAGUUUCGGCGGUUGGGGAUGGACUCGCGGCUUAUCAGCUUGUUGGUGGGGCAGUGGCUUACCAAGGCUUUGACGGGUAGCCGGCCUGAGAGGGUGACCGGCCACAUUGGGACUGAGAUACGGCCCAGACUCCUACGGGAGGCAGCAGUGGGGAAUAUUGCACAAUGGGCGGAAGCCUGAUGCAGCAACGCCGCGUGCGGGAUGACGGCCUUCGGGUUGCAAACCGCUUUCGCCUGUGACGAAGCGUGAGUGACGGUAAUGGGUAAAGAAGCACCGGCUAACUACGUG
rnacentral:rRNA from 1 species